GUCGCCUCUAGAGUUCUCCUGAGCACUUCACUGGGGAGUCUUUGAGAAUUUUCUCUCAUUGGCUUAUUCAUAAGUUUCCUACUGAAGUGUUUGGGGGAACUCCGGAUGCUGC
rnacentral:pre_miRNA from 1 species